AAGCCUGCAGACAGAGAGGCAGGGUCUGAUCCGCAGCCUCUGUGACAGCUGUUGAUCAGCUGUUGCCUCUCUCUUUCUCUCUG
rfam:Myotis lucifugus cont2.5963, whole genome shotgun sequence.